rnacentral:lncRNA from 1 species
CAACUGGUGAAGUGUGCUGUCAUUGGUCCCCGGGAUCUGGGCGGAUCCUUCCGUUAGGGACCUUCUCGCUGGCGGGAGGGAGAGGAGGGGAGGCCCAUCAUGGCCCCCCAGGUCCGACCUUACAGAUGCUGAGCUGUGUGUGGUGAACAGUCAAGGUGCCCCUGAAUGCUGAAGUGAAUGCCACAUGGACAGAGGAGUCUGGCAGGGGGCCACAAAGAGUUACACAGGACUGAGCAAAAUACCCAGGUAGAGAUGACCUUUCUCAAUCUACAGCCAAAUACAAACAGCUUCUCCACUUUAGUAAAAAGAAGAUCAAGAUUUGUCUGA